rnacentral:rRNA from 1 species
UACAGAGGGUGCGAGCGUUAAUCGGAAUUACUGGGCGUAAAGCGCGCGUAGGCGGCUUUGCAAGUCGGGUGUGAAAUCCCCAGGCUUAACCUGGGAACUGCAUUCGAGACUGCAUUGCUAGAGUAUGGGAGAGGUAAGCGGAAUUCCUGGUGUAGCGGUGAAAUGCGUAGAUAUCAGGAGGAACACCUGUGGUGUAGACAGCUUACUGGACCAUUUCUGACGCUGAGACACGAAAGCGUGGGUAGCAAACAGG